GUGGGGCUGUAGCUCAGUGGCAGAGCACUUGCCUAGCAUGUGUGGGGCCCUGGGUUUGAUCCUUAGCACCACA
rnacentral:tRNA from 1 species